UAUUCCCAUAUUAGUAACAAUGUAAUGACUUUAUCUGACGUGUUCUAAGGUUAGAUUUAGAACCUUGGGAAACAUAUUGCCAGUGGAUGUGAUAAGCAGAGAGAAGAGGCAAAAGUCCAAGAGGUUACGAACUUACUAUAGCUUGUAUUUGUAAAUUGAUAGAAAUCUAAUUAAUUCCACAUUCAGUGCUGCACUCUUUUUGUCUCUUAUCAGCAUAAUUGAUCCAAAGCUGUAAUAUAAAAUAGCAAUACAAAUAAUAAGACUGGAUUUGGGUUUAUUCUCUAAACACUGAAGUUUAUUGAACUGAAAACCAUAUUGCAAAAUGUGGACAAAAAAUAUAAAUGUAAUUUAACCCCUUAAGGACCAAACUUCUGGAAUAAAAGGGAAUCAUGACAUGUCGCACAUGUAAUGUGUCCUUAAGGGGUUAAAUAUAAAAAAAGCUAAUUUAAAAACAUUUUCAGCUGCAGUUAGAACUUGUCUAUUUUGAGUCAAAUAUUUAAAUUUAUCUCACAUUCAGUACAAUUCUAUGUUUAGUGAAUAAGCCCCAUGUUUUCUCCCUCUGAACUCAUGAAUAGAAAGGACGUAUGUUUUAUUUAGAUUAGCACCUUCUAAGGCAUUGGUUUAUCUUACAGAGAAUUGCAUCUACAUAUACCUGUCAUUUAAAGGGCAGUUUUGAAGGUGAAAUGGAUGAAAAGCCCUUUGAAAGAAGUCCUAUGACUAACCAUUUGCUCGUACAAGCCAUAGUAAACUAGCAUCAGAUGUAUCCCCUGGUUGUAAUUUCAUAUCAUGUCUUGUGACCGCUAUUUAAAGAAUACCCAUUACAUGCUUCUUAAUGCCAUAUUAGAUGCUGGGUAAAAUUGUGACAUUGUAAGUCUGAUAUCUAUUAAAAGUUGGAAACAAUAUAAAUAGACUUUAGAUGUCACAAGGUUUAUAUACCAAACAAUAAACUGUGAUGGACUAAAAAUUACAUUGUCAAAAUUAUACCAAGACAGCCAACAUGGGAAUAUGAUUAGAACAUUUUUUUCCAGUUUAGCAAAAAAAAAAAUUCCAGUUCAAUACAAUUCUUUAUUUCUGACAAUCCAUGAAAAAGAUUCCUAAAUACCCUUUUUUAAAAGUAUUUAUUGUAAUUGUUGCCAUAUAGCAAUAUUCAAUAUUUAAAAAAAUAUAAUUCAUAAAUAACCUUUCUUUGACUUUAAUCAUGAUUUAGUAUUCAAUGCCAAUAUCAAAAAUAAAAAGAAAUACUCUUACUUGAUUUAAUCUAUUCCCUGUUAAACCAUCCAGUUUUGUUUUCAAGUGUACAUAAAUUGUGUUUUGUUGCAAAAUCCAGGGAUAUAUAUACUUUUACUUUUAAAGCUCUUGGCAGUGAAACAGUUAACACAUUAAAAUGUGCAUGUAUGUACUUUAAACAACUCAAUACAUUAAUGGAUAAAGCAAUGUGUAUAAAGGCAUAUGCAUGCUAUAUGUAUUCUAAAUGGCUAAAAUUGUACAUUGAUGUAUAUUCUAUUUCAUUUAGGAACCACCAUCAGAUUGAUCACCAUUCACAAAUCUGGUAAUUCGGUCUUGAUCCACACUCAUCUUUGUUGACAGUUUCAGACAUCCCAAGACUCCCGGAGAUUCCUGGAGACUCUGGCAUUUUGAAUGCGGCUCCCAGACACCUGCAAAUCAUAAACAAUAUCCUGGAAAUCACACACACAAUCUGACAUACAGUAUAUAUCAGAUGGUAUGUCUCUGUGUGAUAUCCAGGAUAUUCUGUUUGAUUUUCUGCCACCCAAUAAUAUUUACUAACCUUGGGCCCGGUUGAGUUCCACAGCCCUUUAAGAGUCAACUGGACCCCUGUAAUAUCAACUGUCAGGGAGGAAGUGACAGGAGAUCAUUUCCUCCCAGCAUCACAGAGAGCCGCAUGAGAGGAAUGGAUGGAGACUGGAAGCAGAGGAGAGGCUAGAGUGAGCUGCUGCAUGCUCCCUCCCAUCAGCCUCAGCCAUCACAAGGACCCCAAGCAAGUCACCUUCCUAUAUGUAAAAGGUAAGCUAACAGGAGGUUGGCUGCAAAUGCAAAAAAAUUUACAUGCAUGUAUGUGGGCACGCCAGUGCAUGUAUCUGUAUGUCACCAUGUGUGUAUAUGUC
rnacentral:lncRNA from 1 species